GACGAACGCUGGCGGCGUGCUUAACACAUGCAAGUCGAACGGAAAGGCCCUGCUUUUGUGGGGUGCUCGAGUGGCGAACGGGUGAGUAACACGUGAGUAACCUGCCCUUGACUUUGGGAUAACUUCAGGAAACGGGGGCUAAUAUCGGAUAGGAGCUCCUGCUGCAUGGUGGGGGUGGGAAAGUUUCGGCGGUUGGGGAUGGACUCGCGGCUUAUCAGCUUGUUGGUGGGGUAGUGGCUGACCAAGGCUUGGGCGGGUAGCCGACCUGGGAGGGUGGCCGGCCACAUUGCGACUGAGAUACGGCCCAGACUCCUACGGGAGGCAGCAGUGGGGAAUAUUGCCCAAUGGGCGGACGCCUGAUGCAGCAACGCCGCGUUCGGGAUGACGGCCUUCGGGUUGUAAACCGCUUCCGCCUGUGACGAAGCGUGAGUGACGGUAAUGGGUAAAGAAGCACCGGCUAACUACGUG
rnacentral:rRNA from 1 species